rnacentral:tRNA from 1 species
UUCUGGUUAGUUUAGUGGCUAUGACGGCGCCUUGUCAAGACAACAUUGAUUCGACGCUCGGCGCAGACCCGGGUUCAAUUCCCGGACCGGAAG